GCCGGGAUAGCUCAGUGGUAGAGCAACGGUUUUGUAAACCGUGGGUCGCAGGUUCAAAUCCUGUUCCCGGCUCCA
rnacentral:tRNA from 6 species